rfam:Pseudomonas sp. ABAC61 scaffold69_001, whole genome shotgun sequence.
AUACGUGUAGGGUGGAGAUGCACAACCGUCGGACUGUGUAGCAUUAGGCUUUAUCAAGACGCUUCAUCUCGUCCACAGUCGCCGGUUGAUUCCUCCUCCUGACAGACUUUUGCUUAAGCGGUGCCUUAGUCACCACAGCAAGCAGGACGCGUGAGUCGCGACUUCGUNUGUAGCAUUAGGCUUUAUCAAGACGCUUCAUCUCGUCCACAGUCGCCGGUUGAUUCCUCCUCCUGACAGACUUUUGCUUAAGCGGUGCCUUAGUCACCACAGCAAGCAGGACGCGUGAGUCGCGACUUCGUUCCCGGUUACCGACAGGAACGAACAUCGUUAGACACUCGAGUGGUCAACCACUCCUGACGCACCUGACACCGACCGUGAGAAGUCGUGUGUGCCGAACGCCGUUUCCGGCAGCCCGGAAACCGA